AUUGAACGCUGGCGGCAGGCCUAACACAUGCAAGUCGAGCGGAUGAAGGGAGCUUGCUUCUGGAUUCAGCGGCGGACGGGUGAGUAAUGCCUAGGAAUCUGCCUGGUAGUGGGGGAUAACGUCCGGAAACGGGCGCUAAUACCGCAUACGUCCUGAGGGAGAAAGUGGGGGAUCUUCGGACCUCACGCUAUCAGAUGAGCCUAGGUCGGAUUAGCUAGUUGGUGGGGUAAAGGCCUACCAAGGCGACGAUCCGUAACUGGUCUGAGAGGAUGAUCAGUCACGGUGGAACUGAGACACGGUCCAGACUCCGACGGGAGGCAGCAGUGGGGAAUAUUGGACAAUGGGCGAAAGCCUGAUCCAGCCAUGGCGCGUGUGUGAAGAAGGUCUUCGGAUUGUAAAGCACUUUAAGUUGGGAGGAAGGGCAGUAAGUUAAUACCUUGCUGUUUUGACGUUACCAACAGAAUAAGCACCGGCUAACUUCGUG
rnacentral:rRNA from 1 species